UACGUAGGGUGCGAGCGUUAAUCGGAAUUACUGGGCGUAAAGCGUGCGUAGGCGGUUCCUCAAGUCCGUUGUGAAAGCCCCGGGCUCAACCUGGGAAUGGCAGUGGAAACUAGGGGACUGGAAUCUGGCAGAGGGGGGUGGAAUGCCGCGUGUAGCAGUGAAAUGCGUAGAGAUGUGGAGGAAUACCGAUGGCGAAGGCAGCCCCCUGGGCCAAUACUGACGCUCAUGCACGAAAGCGUGGGGAGCGAACGGG
rnacentral:rRNA from 1 species